rnacentral:rRNA from 1 species
AGGACGAACGCUGGCGGCGUGCUUAACACAUGCAAGUCGAGCGGAAAGGCCCUUCGGGGUACUCGAGCGGCGAACGGGUGAGUAACACGUGAGAAACCUGCCUUUAGCUCUGGGAUAGCUUCGGGAAACCGGAAUUAAUACCGGAUACGACUACUGUCGGCAUCGACAAUGGUGGAAAGAUUUAUCGGCUUAGAGAUGGUCUCGCGGCCUAUCAGCUUGUGGUGAGGUAACGGCUCACCAAGGCGACGACGGGUA